AAUGACAAUCAAUCACGAGGAGUAGAAUCGAAAAUAAUCACCGCUGAAUUCAUGACCAGCCUACGUGAUCGGCGGCUACCGGGAUUUGCCUUCAAUCUCGAUAAGUGAUGUUCAUCGACUGGUCCAGACGGGGAGCUCUGCCCCAGAAGCAAGAGGAGAAGGGAUUUAAAAUGUAUCUGUCAAGUUACAUAGACAAUUAUGAAGAUAACUUUUGAAAACAGCUCGCCUGUUACAAUUGCUGCUGCUGAAUGCACAUGUGUUGCUGGAAAAGUCCUGUGCAAUCACAAUGUUGGACUUCUUUUUCAAACGGCACAUUACUCAACCCUGAGACUGAAGGCAGUUCCCCCCGUCCUUAGCUGCACAGAAACAGAGCAGAAAUGGCAUAAGCCACGGACUAUGGUAAGCACUUAAUACCAAAGUGAGAAUAUUAUUUAUUAUUAAUACUAUUGUUGUUAUUGUUCUUUGUGAACUUUUAUAGGGUGUGAAACCAGGUAGAGUGAGUGACAUGGUCGUCAUUUCUACAAAGCUUAAACCUAGGCAGUACACAGUCGCUGAUGGUGUAAGGAGUAAGCGCUACAAAGCAGUGCUGGGGGACUGCCGGACCCAGAUGUCCUGAAAGUUGCUGAGGCUUACAAAGACUUCACAGCAGACAUUGCUCCACUGAUAACCACCAUGGCAAUAACCGAGGAUGUUCCCUUUGUUCAGUCAGCAUUUGGACCAGUCCAGGAAGGUAGCCCCAUCUCUUACCAGCAUCCAGUACCAAUUAGUCGGGUAAUAGUCUGCCACCCAGACAGCCCCCCUCCACCACCUCUGCCAUUAGAAGGCUAUAGGCUGGAUCCCUCCACCUGUAAUUUUGUGUGUACUCAUGAACAGCAUCUCCAGUUAAUGUCACUUGCCAUUACCUUGGAUAUGGCAAGGAAGAUAGAGAUGGCUACAAGGGACCAGAGCAACAGUGUGGAGUGGCACCAAGUCAGGAAGCCGAGGCUCACUUCCUCUCGAUUUAGGAGGUGUGCCAUGUGAGAGGGGACAGUUCUUCUCAGAACCUAGCAGAGAGAAUAUGGAAAGGUGGGGUUCAGACAGCGCUAAUGAAAAGGGGGCUGGCAUUGGAGCCUGUGGCCAUCCAAGAAUACACCAGGACAAAAAAUGUCAACUACUGGCCAUGUGGCUUUGUCAUCCACCCAGAUGCUCCUUGGCUAGGAUCCUCUCCAGAUGGUCUUGUAUUUGAUCCAACUGAGAGCCCACCAUUUGGACUGAUAGAAAUCAAGUGCCCUAAUUCCAGAAGCUAUGUGGACUGCAAGUACCUAAAGAUGCAGAGUGGCACAUUAAAAUUAAAGCCCAGCCACAGCUACUACUGGCAAGUCCAGGGGCAGUUAUUACUCACCGGGAUGCAAUGGUGUGAUUUUAUUGUUCUGGCUGAGGAGGACAUUCUUGUGCAGCGGAUCUACAGGGAUGCUGCGGUGGCAGGGGUUAUAAGGGAGAAGGGGGAUUAUUUAUUUUUUCACUUUUACCUCGGUAAAAACAGUGGUUGACUCUUUCCCCUUUUUCCAUCCACUUUGCUUUUCGAUUUAUAGUAUCAAAUGUUAGUUCUCUCAUAUUAGUUGUUCAUACUCUUGGUUUUUGUUCGUUCGUCUAGUAUAUCCUGGGCAUCGUCUUGUUUCCCCAGAAUGUUGUAAAUAUUUCAAUGUUAUAUUUGCUUGAUUAAAUUUUGCCUUCUCCAUGUAUAUCUUUGUAGCUUGGAAUUUUAUCUUCCAUAUAAUCUACCAAAUCUUUCUCAUCCAUUACUGUUCUAAUCUUUAUGUGCUCGUGGGUGAUACGAGAUGUCAGUGAUUGUGUGUUUGUUUAUUUCUCACCUGCAUUAUUUCCUUAUUAAAUUAUACAUUUUCUUA
ensembl:lncRNA